rnacentral:rRNA from 1 species
GUAGUCUGCAACUCGACUACAUGAAGCUGGAAUCGCUAGUAAUCGCAGAUCAGAAUGCUGCGGUGAAUACGUUCCCGGGUCUUGUACACACCGCCCGUCACACCAUGGGAGUCGGGAAUGCCCGAAGUCAGUGACCCAACCGCAAGGAGGGAGCUGCCGAAGGCAGGCUCGAUAACUGGGGUGAAGUCGUAACAAGGUACC